rnacentral:miRNA from 1 species
UGAUUCAUUGCCUGGCUCUGC